rnacentral:lncRNA from 1 species
AAGCAUCAGGGGCCUGUAUCCAGGAGCCUGACAGAGGUAUAAAACACAAACAUUACCUGUUAGAAAGCAGAGCUCAGGUAUCAGGUGGGCGAGCUGAGCCUCACUGUUGUCAUUUCUCUUCUUCUUUAACAGACUAACAAGCAUGGGCUGAUUCAGGUCCGAUACAGUAAUAUCAUACUGCUAUAAAAUGCAAGAUUAAUAAGUAAAAAGUUAACAUGGAAGCACCGCCAGAGCAAAAAUGGGUGUUUGAAGAACUUACUCCCAUGAUGCGGCAGUCAAGGAGAUGCACAGUAGAGGAUCAAAAAGCUGACAACUUGGCCUCCCCUGGGUCGCUUCCAGGGGAGCGCGGCUUCACCGCUCGAACCAGCUGGCCAAGUUCCGUAUGCUCUUGGGCCGGUCCCCAGCCCUCUGUACAGCCUGGCACACCCGGCACCAAGGCUCGUCCCAGAAGGAGGUGAUGUGGACAGCGUAGCUCCGGCGCCAGUGGAAGUAGCGGCGAUAGACCGCGGGGUUGCGGUCGAGGAAAAGCAGGUACGAGGCCAGGGAGGAGGCACUUGGGAAGUCGUCCACGUGGAUGAAGGCGCCGCGGGGCACAAAGCGCUCGUAGUUGGCACGGUCUGGGCCCAGCACCACCGGCACCGCCCCAGCGAGCAACGCGUUGCGCCAGAGCUUCUCGGUGAUAUAAUCCAGGUGCUGCGAGUUCUCGAAAGCCAGGUAGAACUUGUAGCGGGCCACUGUGUGCAGGAGC